GAUGAACGCUGGCGGCGUGCUUAGCACAUGCAAGUCGAACGAAGCACUUUAUUCGAUUUUCUUCGGAGAUGAAGAUUUAGUGACUGAGUGGCGGACGGGUGAGUAACGCGUGGAUAACCUGCCUCACACUGGGGGAUAACAGUUAGAAAUGACUGCUAAUACCGCAUACGCGCACAGUACCGCAUGGUAUGGUGAGAAAAACUCCGGUGGUGUGAGAUGGAGCCGCGUUUGAUUAGCCAGUUGGCGGGGUAACGGCCCACCAAAGCGACGAUCAAGAGACGCCAUGCGAGGGUGACCGGCCUCAUUGGGACUGAGACACGGCACAAACACCGACGGGAGGCAGCAGUGGGGAAUAUUGCGCAAUGGGGGAAACCCUGACGCAGCGACGCCGCGUGAGCGAUGAAGUAUUUCGGUAUGUAAAGCUCUAUCAGCAGGGAAGAAUAAAUGACGGUACCUGACUAAGAAGCCCCGGCUAACUACGUGCCAGCAGCCGCGGUAA
rnacentral:rRNA from 1 species